CCUACGGGAGACAGCAGUGAGGAAUAUUGGUCAAUGGGCGGAAGCCUGAACCAGCCAAGUAGCGUGCAGGAUGACGGCCCUACGGGUUGUAAACUGCUGUUAUACGGGAAUAACGCGCCUUACGUGUAGGGCUUUGCAUGUACAGUAUAAAUAAGGACCGGCUAAUUCCGUGCCAGCAGCCGCGGUAAUACGGAAGGUCCGGGCGUUAUCCGGGUUUACUGGGUUGAAAGGGGGCGUAGGCCGCAUGUCAAGCGUGCUGUGAAAUGUCCGGGCUCAACCCGGGCCUUGCAGCGCGAACUGGCGUGCUUGAGUCCGCGGAAAGCAGGCGGAAUUCGUCGUGUAGCGGUGAAAUGCUUAGAUAUGACGAAGAACCCCGAUUGCGAAGGCAGCUUGCUGCAGCGGAACUGACGCUGAUGCUCGAAAGCGCGGGUAUCGAACAGGAUUAGAUACCCGGGUAGUC
rnacentral:rRNA from 1 species